ensembl:rRNA 5S_rRNA 5S ribosomal RNA
GCCGGCAGCUAGCUCUCUGCAACUCUCACAUGGUCGCUUACUGAAGAUAAGCAGGGCUGCGCCCGGUCAGUACUUGGAUGGGAGACCACAUGGGAAAGCUAGGUUGCUCCAGGAA